CCACUGCGCCACCAGGGAAGCCCCUACCAGCAUUUUUUUAAAUGAAGCUGUGUUUACCAUCAAGUGGAGAAACCGCCGACAAAAGCCGUCUCCUAACAGGCUUUGACUCCAACCUCUGAAAAUGCUUCAAUUCAAUGAAGCUAAUGGCACUUUGGUCUCCGGCAUUAGAUCCUGUUAUCAAUGACUUCCACAUGGAAAGAUCAUUCCAAAAUGUGUAAUUAACCAAGAAAAUGCAAAUAAACCAAUUUGUACCUGCUAUUUAGAGGGAACACGGUCACUGGCAGCUUUGGGCUAAACGUCAUUCCAAAGUAAUGAUUCAGAAGGAAAGGGUGUCCCUUACCUACCUUCAACCUUGGAAGGACUCCAACUGGCCCAGCUGGGGUUACUUGCUCACCCUUGGAUCAAUCAUUGGGGUCACAAGCAUGAUGAUGUAUACGGCCUAGGUCGGUGAUUGGCAAGGCUUUCAGAAACGCAUCAUUGCAAAUGGAGAGAAGCAGGUUCUCCUAGAAAGAGGAGUUCUGGGUAAACCAGAAGAAUUAAAUCCAUUGAAGUCUAGAAAAACAAAUUGGCUACCCCCAUGCUAAGAUGGAAACUAAAGUCAUUCCAAGCAGAGAGUUUGAGCAAAAUCAAGAAGAGGGAAAACUCAGUGCGUGUUGAGGGACUGGAUGGUAUUGGUGGUACACAGUGGGAAAGAAUGGAAGGUUGCUGAGGUCAAAUAGUGUGCAUAUUUGAAGCCCUGUAAAGAAGUUGGUGCUAUGUUCUCUAAGCAGAGUAUAGUUUUUUAAGGUUUUGAGAGUUACAUAGUACAUUCUACAUUUUAGAAAAAUAAUCUUAUCUCAUGGAGGAUAUGCUGGAUAGAAAUACUGGAGACAAGGAGAUUGGGUAGGGAAGGUAUGGUGGGCAUGUUGUUUUGUCUGAAAGUGUUCAUUUCCUCGUGAGAACUUCCUCUCCACUCUGGGCAGUCUUGGUGGGACUGUCAAUCAGUGUCCCACAGAACCACAAGGUUGGGUCAAUUUUAGUGCUGCAUUUCCUGGGACGCACAAUUGGUUCAUGGAUAAGCAUGUGAUUCAAGCAGAGCCAAUGGAUCCUUUCAGUAAACAUAGUCUAAAGAUGUAGGCUGAGAGUUCCCAACAGCCAUCCUGCCAUUACACAGAAAGAGUCUGUGUAAAACAUAUGAGAAAAAACAGAGGUGAAAGGGAAAAAAGAGCUCUACAACAUUGUGUCAGCCCUGGGUGACAGUGUCCUGAAAUUCCCAGUUACAUGUGUCAAUAUCAUUCUUCUUUUAUUUGUCUCUUAAUUGCAUUUAUUUCACACUACAACUGCAUACAAAAGGUACCUGUCAUUUAUUAAACAGCUAUUACAUACUAGGCAUGGUACUGGGUACUUUAUGUACAUUAUAAUAUUAAAUCUUUACAGUAACCCUGAAAGUAAAUAUUAUGAUUCCUCAUUUUAAAGAGGGAAAAAUCAUGACCCAAAUAAAUUAAGUAACUUCAAAAAAUUUAUUUAAAUAUUAAGAGUUGGAAAUGAUAUUCUAAAGGUUUGUUCAACUCCAAAGCCUAUAUUCUUUUUACUUUACCAUAUCUAUGCUACAUUGCUCUGUAGCUUUAGAGAGCAAUAUUCUCAAUAAGAAAUAAUAAAAGCAUGAACUAAGGCAAUAGCAGCAAGAAUAGGAGGAAAAAGCAGAUUCAAGAGACAUUCAAGAAAGGGAAAAAAUAGUUCCUACUGAUUUUUUUUUUCAAAGAAUUUUAUAUGUUGAGGAACAGUAAGAAAUCUAAGGAGAUUCUGAAAUCCAGUUAAUCUAAGUACAUAUACGAGUAAAGGCUGAUUGGAAGGGAACAAAUCAUGUUUCAUUUAAAGUGUGUGUGUAUGGGAACAUAUGUAUAUGUAUAACUGA